rnacentral:rRNA from 1 species
CGCCUCCUGCAAAAAUCAAUGUAUAAGAGGUCCUACCUGCCCAGUGAUUUAAUUAAACGGCCGCGGUAUUUUGACCGUGCAAAGGUAGCGCAAUCACUUGUUUUUUAAAUAAAGACCUGUAUGAAUGGUGAAACGAGGGCUUAACUGUCUCCCUUUUCUGAUCAGUGAAAUUGAUCUACCCGUGCAGAAGCGGGUAUAAGAAUACAAGACGAGAAGACCCUAUGGAGCUUAAGACACAAAAUCAACUAUGUUAAAAACCCCUAUUAAAAGAAUAAAACAAAACAGCAACUGAUUAGCGUCUUCGGUUGGGGCGACCACGGGGGAAAACCAAUCCCCCACGUGGAACGGGAUUACUCCUAAAACCAUGAGGGACACCUCUAAGUCACAGAACCUCUGACCAAAUGAUCCGGUAAAUAACCGAUCAACGAACCAAGUUACCCUAGGGAUAACAGCGCAAUCCCCUUCAAGAGUUCAUAUCGACAAGGGGGUUUACGACCUCGAUGUUGGAUCAGGACAUCCUAAUGGUGCAGCCGCUAUUAAGGGUUCGUUUGUUCAACGAUUAAAGUCCU